GACGAACGCUGGCGGCGUGCUUAACACAUGCAAGUCGAACGGUAAGGCCCCAGUUUGCUGGGGUGCACGAGUGGAACAGGUGAGAGUAACACGUGGGUGUGCUGCCCAGCGCUUGAGGGUAAGGCUGGGGAACUGGGACUAAUACCGGAUAGGACCGCACCGAAGGGGGGGGGUUUCAGGUGUUGCGGUGUUGGAUGGGCCCGCGGCCUAUCAGCUUGUUGGUGGGGUAAAGGCCUACCAAGGCGGCGACGGGUAGCCGGCCUGAGAGGGUGGACGGCCACAAGGGGACUGAGAGACGGCCCAGACGCCUACGGUAGGCAGCAGUGGGGAACAUUGUACAGUGGUGCGAAGCCUGAGGCAGCGGCGCCGCGUUGGUGAUGAAGGCCUUCGGGUUGUAAACUCCUUUCUCCAAAGACGAAGGUUUUCUGACGGUAGCUGGAGAAGAAGCACCGGCUAACUACGUG
rnacentral:rRNA from 1 species